AUGGCUGCCCAAUGAGAACCCCAAGUUCAGUUCAAACUUCUAUUGGUUGGUGAUGGUGGUACUGGAAAAACUACAUUUGUGAAACAUCAUCUGGUGAAUUUGAGAAAUAUGUAGCUACCUUGGGUGUUGAGGUCCAUCGCCUUGUGUUCCAUACCAACAGAGGACCUAUUAAGUUCAAUGUAUGGGAUACAGCUGGUCAGGAGAAAUUUGGUGGACUGAGAGAUGGCUAUUAUAUCCAAGCUCAGUGUGCCAUUACAAUGUUUGAUGUAACAUCGAGAGUUACUUACAAGAACGUGCCUAACUGGCAUAGAGAUCUUGUACAAGUGUGUGAGAACAUCCCCAUCAUGUUGUGUGGCAACAAAGUGGGUAUUAAGGACAGAAAGGUUAAGGCACAGUCAAUUGUCUUCCACCGAAAGAAGAAUCUUCAGUACUAUGACAUUUCUGCCAAAAGUAACUACAACUUUGAAAAGCCCUUCCUCUGGCUUGCUAGAAAACUGAUGGGAGACCCUAACUUGGAGUUCAUCUCCAUGCCUGCUCUCGCCCCGCCAGAGGUAGUCAUGGACUCAGCGUUGGCAGCGCAGUGCAGGCAGGAUCUAGAGGUUGCUCAGACAACUGCCCUCCCAGAUGAAGAGAAAGUGAAGCUGGACCCCGGUGUCAGAAGUCUAGUUUUAUAG